rnacentral:rRNA from 1 species
AAGAUGCGCUAAUCGCAUAUCUUACGAGAAAAGCAGGGAUCGCAGACCUGCGCUCUUGAGCGGCCGAUGUCUGAUUAGCUAGUCGUGAGGUAAAGGCUUACCAAGGCUUCGAUCAGUAGCUGGUCUGAGAGGACGACCAGCCACACUGGGACUGAGACACGGCCCAGACCCCUACGGGAGGCAGCAGUGGGGAAUUUUGGACAAUGGGGGCAACCCUGAUCCAGCCAUGCCGCGUGAGUGAAGAAGGCUUUCGGGUUGUAAAGCUCUUUCAGCCGGAACGAAAAGGUUACGGUUAAUACCCGUGACUAAUGACGGUACCGGAAGAAGAAGCACCGGCUAACUACGUGCCAGCAGCCGCGGUAAUACGUAGGGUGCGAGCGUUAAUCGGAAUUACUGGGCGUAAAGCGUGCGCAGGCGGUUUUGUAAGUCAGAUGUGAAAUCCCCGGGCUUAACCUGGGAACUGCGUUUGAAACUACAAGGCUAGAGUGUGGCAGAGGGGGGUGGAAUUCCACGUGUAGCAGUGAAAUGCGUAGAGAUGUGGAGGAACACCGAUGGCGAAGGCAGCCCCCUGGGUUAACACUGACGCUCAGGCACGAAAGCGUGGGGAGCAAACAGGAUUAGAUACCCUGGUAGUCCACGCCCUAAACGAUGUCAACUAGUUGUCGGGUCUUAACGGGCUUGGUAACGCAGCUAACGCGUGAAGUUGACCGCCUGGGGAGUACGGUCGCAAGAUUAAAACUCAAAGGAAUUGACGGGGACCCGCACAAGCGGUGGAUUAUGUGGAUUAAUUCGAUGCAACGCGAAAAACCUUACCUACCCUUGACAUGUACCGAAGCCCGCCGAGAGGUGGGCGUGCC